rnacentral:rRNA from 1 species
CCUACGGGGAGCAGCAGUGGGGAAUAUUGCACAAUGGGGGAAACCCUGAUGCAGCGACGCCGCGUGAGUGAAGAAGUAAUUCGUUAUGUAAAGCUCUAUCAGCAGGGAAGAAAAUGACGGUACCUGAGUAAGAAGCCCCGGCUAACUACGUGCCAGCAGCCGCGGUAAUAAGUAGGGGGCAAGCGUUAUCCGGAUUUACUGGGUGUAAAGGGAGCGUAGACGGCAGUGCAAGUCUGGAGUGAAAGGCGGGGGCUCAACCCCCGGACUGCUCUGGAAACUGUACGGCUGGAGUGCAGGAGAGGUAAGUGGAAUUCCUAGUGUAGCGGUGAAAUGCGUAGAUAGUAGGAGGAACACCAGUGGCGAAGGCGGCUUACUGGACUGUAACUGACGUUGAGGCUCGAAAGCGUGGGGAGCAAACAGGAUUAGAUACCCGAGUAGUC